CACUCGGUCUCUCAAAAAUAAACAAACAUUGAAAAACAAAACAAAACUUUAUUGCCUCAUGGUUUUAGAGGUGGGAAGUCCAAGAUGAAGGCGUCAGCAGGACUGGUUCCUUCUGAGGGAGAAUCCAGGCCCCCUCCUGGCUGCUGGUGUCUGUCUUUGUUCCCUGGCUUGUAGAGACAUCACCUCAUCUCUGCCUUCAUGUUCACACGGCCUUGCCCCUGUGUGUGCCUGUGUCCAAAUUUAUAAGGUCACCAGUCAUUGGAUUAGGGGCCGCCCUACUCCGGAAUGACCUCGUCUUGUGUGACCACAUCUAUGACAACUGUAUUUCCAAAUUAGAUCACAUUCUGAGGUCCCGGGGGUUGGCACUUCAACUUAGGAAUAUUGGAGGAUGCAGUUCAAGCCAUGACAUUGGCGAGAAGCCCCCGGGGAGUCUCUGGAGUCCUGAGUAAGGACAGAACCAAGGCUGACUGGCACUCUUCUUGGGGGUGGGGCCGGCCACCUGGUCACCAGCAGCCUUGCAUCACCAGGCUGGUCUCCAUCCAACAGAACCAAAUCAACAAAUGUAUUUAACACCCUCUAGGUGCAAAGCCUUGGGGCCAAAUGCUGUGGAGAAAUGGGGCACCGCCUAAGACAGACUCCCUGCCCUGACAAGGAGAAAACUUUCCUUUGAUGUGAAGAUGGCCUGUUCUGGUGUCGUGGAAAGUUCUGUCUGCCCUUCCUGCUCAGGGGAUCAAAUGAAAGAAGGCUUUAUGAAGCUGCCACCCAGGCCUUCCCGAGAGUGGCCAGGCCUUGGGCUGGAGACAGGCCCCGUCCUAUCGAGCCGUCCUCUAAACCGUGGGCCUGGCCUGAAGCGUCUCACUUUGGAACCUUUUGUCAGAAGCUGGCUGUGAGCAUCUCACCUAAGAAUGUUGGUUGGCAAACCCUAACUACCUGUAACCACAUCAGAACCACACCUGUAUUCAUGUGGCUUUCUUCCUGAUGCCCGUGUGAACCCGCGAUCUGGCUUAUACGAUGUUAGGUUUCUACCUUCUAGAGGAAUAAAGCAAACCAAAACAUUUAAUGCAAAAAGCCCACUUUGAAAAGUCCGA